GGGGUUGUGGCUCAGUGGUAGAGCACUCGCCUAGCAUGUGUGAGGCCCUGGGUUCCAUCCUCAGCACCACA
rnacentral:tRNA from 1 species